CUCAUAUCCCCACUAUCCUCUGCAUCACCUGCCCAUAUCCUUUCUCCCCAAGUCGCGCACUUGCAUAUAAACACACAAACAUAUACAAAAAAGACGACACGGGCGGAAAAGGAGGAGAGAUUGAGGGUUUCAAAAUUCUUCUAAGAGUUUUCUUUUAGAAUUUCUUUUCUCAAAUUUUUUUUGGCUUCUUCCAUUUUCAUCUUUGUUCCAAGCUCGAAAGUAUACAAAAACAGUUAGUUUCUUUGUUUAAUUUUGUUUUUUAAAUCAAUGGAGUCCGUUUGAAAUUGUGGAGUUUGAUUGAGUUUGAAGUCCUCUCGAGUUCUCCGUCAUCUGUCUGUCGUCGCUCGUGGUUCUGAUUUGGGUUCGCGAUCUCUGUUUGGAUCCAUUCCUACUUUCUCGCUUGGAUUUUGGCACAAAAUGUGUACGCGCUGGUCUCUUCUGUCGUUACUAAAGUGAUUCUUACUUAACAGAUUUUGGCAUUGGUCCCAGCUGAUCGAGAGGCAUAGCAGCUCAGACUGGUUCAUUGGAGACUCAAGAUGGUGAGAACACAUGCUACAUCUUCAACUGGACAGCAGCCGGAGCCCCCAGUGGCAGCUCCUACGAGGGGAAGAGGUCGAGGCCGAGGCCGCGCCAGAGGCCGAGGCAGGGGCAGAGCUCAACCCAGAGCUCAGCCCAGAGCUCAAGCAGCAAUACCAGCAGUGGAGCCCCAGGUCGAGUUUGAGGAGGAGGUUCCAUCCUAGACUGUGCCUGCUGGACCAGCUCAGGUUCCAGAGGGGUUCAUCGCCACCCCAGUGCUUCAGGAUGCUUUGGUCUGUUUGGUAGGCCUUAUGGAGAGUGUGGACCAGGCCGGUACCUUUCAUACGGAACCAGCCGUCUCUCAAGUUGGGGGAGGACCACAGACUCCCGCUACUCACACUCUGGAGCAGAUGGUUCCCCAGUAUCAGACUCCAGUAGCCCUGCCAGUUGGGAUUGUUCAGCCAGUUAUUGCGGCACAGGCCGGUGAUGGAUCCGCCAUGUCUUCUGAGGCUUUAUAGAGAUUAGACAGGUUUACUAAAAUCUUUGCAGUUCACUUCAGUGGUGCAUCUUCAGAGGAUCCCCAGGAGUAUCAUGACAGCUAUCAUGAGGUGCUACAGAACAUGGGUAUAGUGGAGACCAAUGGGGUCAAUUUUGCUGUAUUUCAGAUGACAGGUUCCGUCAA